UGUCACCUGGCAGUUUGUUGCUCGCUGCCAGGUGAUUGGCUGAAGAGCUGUGAAAAGGUAGUGGGUGUGUGGGGUGAAGUCAGCGCUCUUCUGUGGAAAAAACCAGAGGCAAUUAAUUCACUCAGGUGCGAGUGGGUAUACUGUCGUGUGACCACGAAUUUUAAUAGAAGAAUUGAUCAAGCCCUAGAUCGACUGCGCGCAGGGAAACUGAUCAAUAUUAUCACAGGCCAUACAUAGCACUGAUUCCCAGCUGCGCUGAGACCCGAAUUGUUUGCAGUGUGUGCCACGAUUGCAGUGUCACUAAGCGGGGUGUGACGGGUUGUAGUGUUAUUUCGCACAGUUUGUGUGGUAAGUCUCAUGCGCAGCUGGGAUAUCGGCAGGAUGUGUUGUAAGUCCUGUCUGGAAACGACUGGGAAUUUGUAUGUUUAACUUAUGUAAUAAAUAAAUGAUCAAUUAUUUCUUUGCCCCGUUUACUCAUCCCUUGUCCUCGGUUACAUUUUGGCGUUGUCGACAGGUUUCAAGGGAGUGGCCAUUUUGUUUUGUUAUUUUGUAAGGACAGCAGGGACAGGUUUGUAAGAUUGGAGAGAAGGAGCAGCCAGGUCUCAAUCGCCAUCAUGGAGGGAAGCGAGCAACAAACAAUGGCCCAACGUAUACAGGAGUUGGAGAAUGAACUUAGAGACUUGAAAACAGCAUCUGUGGGUACAGAGAGGCCCUCUACAUCAACAGGAGCUACAGGAAGUGAAUCAGAGACUGUGAGACCCAAUCCUGUGGUAUACGUACAACAGGAUAGAAAGUUGCCAACAUUUUCAGGGAAGUUGGACAAUAUGGGCUCACUGACUCUAGAUGAGUGGAUUGAGCAAAUGAGAGACUUUGUGCGCACGAGAGGCAGAACAGAAAAAGAGCAAGCUCAAA